rnacentral:rRNA from 1 species
UGGAUCCCCGGGCUGCAGCCCAAUGUGGAAUUCGCCCUUGUGCCAGCCGCCGCGGUAAUACGUAGGUGGCGAGCGUUUUCCGGAAUUAUUGGGCGUAAAGGGCUCGCAGGCGGUUUCUUAAGUCUGAUGUGAAAGCCCCCGGCUCAACCGGGGAGGGUCAUUGGAAACUGGGGAACUUGAGUGCAGAAGAGGAGAGUGGAAUUCCACGUGUAGCGGUGAAAUGCGUAGAGAUGUGGAGGAACACCAGUGGCGAAGGCGACUCUCUGGUCUGUAACUGACGCUGAGGAGCGAAAGCGUGGGGAGCGAACAGGAUUAGAUACCCUGGUAGUCCACGCCGUAAACGAUGAGUGCUAAGUGUUAGGGGGUUUCCGCCCCUUAGUGCUGCAGCUAACGCAUUAAGCACUCCGCCUGGGGAGUACGGUCGCAAGACUGAAACUCAAAGGAAUUGACGGGGGCCCGCACAAGCGGUGGAGCAUGUGGUUUAAUUCGAAGCAACGCGAAGAACCUUACCAGGUCUUGACAUCCUCUGACAAUCCUAGAGAUAGGACGUCCCCUUCGGGGGCAGAGUGACAGGUGGUGCAUGGUUGUCGUCAGCUCGUGUCGUGAGAUGUUGGGUUAAGUCCCGCAACGAGCGCAACCCUUGAUCUUAGUUGCCAGCAUUCAGUUGGGCACUCUAAGGUGACUGCCGGUGACAAACCGGAGGAAGGUGGGGAUGACGUCAAAUCAUCAUGCCCCUUAUGACCUGGGCUACACACGUGCUACAAUGGACAGAACAAAGGGCAGCGAAACCGCGAGGUUAAGCCAAUCCCACAAAUCUGUUC